AGAGUUUGAUCCUGGCUCAGAUUGAACGCUGGCGGAACGCUUUACACAUGCAAGUCGAACGGGAAUUACUUUAUUGAAACUUCGGUCGAUUUAAUUUAAUUCUAGUGGCGGACGGGUGAGUAACGCGUGGGUAACCUGCCUUAUACAGGGGGAUAACAGUCAGAAAUGGCUGCUAAUACCGCAUAAGCGCACAGAGCUGCAUGGCUCCGUGUGAAAAACUCCGGUGGUAUAAGAUGGACCCGCGUUGGAUUAGCUUGUUGGUGAGGUAACGGCCCACCAAGGCGACGAUCCAUAGCCGGCCUGAGAGGGUGAACGGCCACAUUGGGACUGAGAUACGGCCCAGACUCCUACGGGAGGCAGCAGUGGGGAAUAUUGGGCAAUGGGCGCAAGCCUGACCCAGCAACGCCGCGUGAAGGAAGAAGGCUUUCGGGUUGUAAACUUCUUUUAAGUGGGAAGAGUAGAAGACGGUACCACUUGAAUAAGCCACGGCUAACUACGUGCCAGCAGCCGCGGUAAUACGUAGGUGGCAAGCGUUGUCCGGAUUUACUGAGUGUAAAGGGCGUGCAGCCGGGCAUGCAAGUCAGAUGUGAAAUCUCAGGGCUUAACCCUGAAACUGCAUUUGAAACUGUAUGUCUUGAGUGCCGGAGAGGUAAUCGGAAUUCCUUGUGUAGCGGUGAAAUGCGUAGAUAUAAGGAAGAACACCAGUGGCGAAGGCGGAUUACUGGACGGUAACUGACGGUGAGGCGCGAAAGCGUGGGGAGCGAACAGGAUUAGAUACCCUGGUAGUCCACGCUGUAAACGAUGGAUACUAGGUGUGCGGGGACUGACCCCCUGCGUGCCGCAGUUAACACAAUAAGUAUCCCACCUGGGGAGUACGAUCGCAAGGUUGAAACUCAAAGGAAUUGACGGGGGCCCGCACAAGCGGUGGAUUAUGUGGUUUAAUUCGAAGCAACGCGAAGAACCUUACCAAGUCUUGACAUCCCUCUGACCGACUCUUAACCGAGUCUUUCCUUCGGAACAGGGGAGACAGGUGGUGCAUGGUUGUCGUCAGCUCGUGUCGUGAGAUGUUGGGUUAAGUCCCGCAACGAGCGCAACCCCUAUUCUUAGUAGCCAGCGGGUAAGCCGGGCACUCUAGGGAGACUGCCAGGGAUAACCUGGAGGAAGGUGGGGAUGACGUCAAAUCAUCAUGCCCCUUAUGACUUGGGCUACACACGUGCUACAAUGGCGUAAACAAAGGGAAGCGAGCCUGCGAGGGGGUGCAAAUCUCAAAAAUAACGUCUCAGUUCGGACUGCAGUCUGCAACUCGACUGCACGAAGCUGGAAUCGCUAGUAAUCGCGAAUCAGAAUGUCGCGGUGAAUACGUUCCCGGGUCUUGCACUCACCGCCCGUCA
rnacentral:rRNA from 1 species